CUGGCGCCCGGCACCCACGUGCGGUAACCGCGGCUCCUCGAGAGCUCCAGGGAUGCGGAUCUACAGUAAGGGCUGUGGCCAGAUGAAUGAAUGCACAUUUUUUAGUGGGCAGAAAGAUGUUAGAAUUCAUGAAUUAGAAUAAGCACAAAGGAGGGCGAGAGGGGAGGCCGUGGAAGCCGCAUUCCUCCCCUUGCCUUGGGCGCCCACCCCCGAAGGGGCGCGUCCCCUCCCUGCUCCACUGCACGUGGGUGUUUAACCAGGGGAUAUCCAGUGCCUCAAGCACCACGACCCGGGAGAAAACUGAGUUGAGAAGGCCUUGGGGAUGAAGGUGAGAAAUUCGAGAAUCCCCGGAGAUAACACAUCAGCAAAUAGUGCGCAGGCAGAACAAGCUGUUGGAGGUGAGAGACACAGAGCAGAGAAGCACCCGCACCUGGAGAGUCAGGAGGGCCUCACAUCAGAACGCCUGAGCAAAUACAGUUUUGAAGGAUACUAAUUUUUUAAAAAGUUCAUUCACAUGAGUUAGACAAAGAGAAAGAAGCAGGACAUUCUAGGAAGAAGGAACGGCCCAGGCAAAAGCGACGCGUACAUUGGCGUGGUACGUUGG
rnacentral:lncRNA from 1 species